rnacentral:ncRNA from 1 species
CACGGCGACGUGAAAUCUGAAGGAAGCCGGAGGCAAAGUCCCGGCCCGAGCCCGGCACUCAAUUAACUUUUGAGUGCCGGGGAACCGCAUAUGAGGCUGACUUGGGGUGGACGAGUUUCCAUAACAAAACGAAGUCCAACACUGCCCGAACCCCAUACAGUAAAUGCGGCGGGUAUACGGGAUGAAGGCUG